AUGGAGAUCGACGACCUCCUCUCCGAGAUCCUCCUCCGCCUCCCGCCGGAACCAUCUUCCCUCCCGCGCGCCUCCCUCGUCUCCACUCGCUGGCGCGGCCUCUCCCGCGACGCCGCCUUCCUCCGUCACUUCCGCGCUCGGCACCGCUCCCACGCGCCCCUCCUCGGCGGCUUCUUCACCGACUACCCCACCCCCGCGCACCGCAACAACUUCGUCUCCUUCGUCCCGACGCUGGAUGCCCCCAACCGCGUCCGCUUCCCCUUCCCGGUCGCCGACUUCCCCUGCAUACUAUUCAGCUGCCGCCACGGCCUCGUGCUCGCCGCCUCGGAACACCGACAAGGGUUCCUGGUUUGGGACCCCGUCACCGGCGACCAGCACCGCCUCGAAGAACCUCCGGGCCUCGACGCGAUGAACGGGGCCGUGCUUCGUGCCGGAGAGGAGGACCAUUUCCGGGUCGUCUUGGUAGGCCACGACGAGCAUCACACGCAGGCCCUCGCCUGCGUGGGCCUGCGUUUACUCAUCGCAGACCCGUCAAUGGGGCAGUGUCAUCUCCGCAACAAUUCCACCCGUUGUUUCUAUAGUGACGGAAUUUGGAUCAUCCGACUCCCAUUCUUGAGUUCAAUUUGGGUACUCAGAGCCUCGCGGCGAUACAGCUAUCGGUGA
rnacentral:rRNA from 1 species